UGUGUGCAUCAUUCAUUCAGCAAACACUACAAAGCAUUUCCCACUGUAAGUUCCCCUCACCCAGAAGUGGGGAUUCUGGAAGGCUCCAACAGCCCCAGAGCCAACUCAAGGAGUUCACAGGGGAGAAUAGGGAGCAGAGAUGACUCCUGAUGGGUCAGUGAGACAAGAAGCUUGAGAGAGCUCAGACAGACACACGGAGACAAGGCCUCCUUGAAGAACUGCUGAGACCUAGGCUGCUAGGGGCGAGUUCAUAGUUUGCCGUUGACUGAGAAGUCAUUGUGUGACACACAACUUGGCAGUGGCAUCAGGGCAGUGAAGAAUGCAGGUCCCCAGCUUAGAGGAACUCCCUCUUCUGACUGUUCUCUGUCGGCUCACUCUUUGCAUUUCAGGGGAGGACUAGAGGACUCCAGGUCAGAGAGGAGAGUUGCUGAAGGAGGUCAUCUGGGGAAGAAUGAAGCCAACCCCUAAGUCAUUCCUUAGGACCACCCAUGUCUGUCCCCGGUGACAAAGAGGCUGCCAAUGCUCUCCCGUCCUCUCUCCCUCCAGGCUGGGAUGCCGACGACAGGGGACUGAAAUGCUUCUAUUAGAAGUUCUUGUGUUGGACAUAGACUUUUGAUCCUGAAGGACAAGAGCAAAUUGCUGUGGAGAAGGGAGCAGAGGUGUAACUUACAGCUUCGCAUACAGAAGAGACCAGAUAGUCCUCUCCUGAGGCCAGGUCUCCAUAGAAUGAGAGUGGAGCCAGCAGGAAGGCUAUGGGUGUUUCUGUAGAAGGGAUGUGGAGAGAAGCGGCUCACCCAGGAGACACUGAAAUUCAAUCCCCUCCUGCACAGUCAGAGGCAGAGCUAACCCUGCUGCAUGGCUCCCUCCUCAGGGGACACAGGAUGAGCUUCCUGGCAGGAGCUGUGCAGGGUGACGGUUCCUGGGGGCAUCUUUCCUCCACAGGGAGCAACAGAGAGAUCUUAUCCUCAUCUGGACUCUGCUCCAACUCUGGUGGCUUCCUUUUCUAAGCCUCCAUUUCCUACAGAAGGGACCGACGGCUUGGAACUUUAUCAGCGUUUCCCAUACUUUGGGUUCUUUCACUUCAGCCUACAGAUCUAUACCAAGACACAGUGUGUGCUCAUAUUUGUACGUGCACAUGUGGACAGCCAUAUGCUGCGUGAGGAUCUUUCAGCCAAAGAUGGAUCCAACCCAUGGCAGUCAACCCUGAAGAUUGACUAGGGGCUAGGGUGUCAUAACAUCCUUGGUUUGAGUAAGAACGGUGUACAAUGUUUAUACAGUGAUACCAUUUUCUAAUGAUGCAUUUCUCAGAACAUAGCUUUCUCAUCAAAUGAUGUAUGACUAUAUAUACGAUGUUUGUACAUGUAUGUUUGUGAAUAUAUGUCAUCUACCUAUCUUAGCUAUCAUGUAUGUACGUAUGUGCGUAUAUCCAUCCAUCCAUCCAUCCAUCCAUCCAUCCAUUUAUCUUCUUCCUAUGAGCCCAAAAUUGUAAGAAUCAAAGUUAUAAAAUAUGAAAUUGGGUGAUGAGUAAAACUCUUCCCAGUUCUGGUAUUUUAAGCCUAUUUUAAUA